rnacentral:rRNA from 1 species
UUUGAGAGUGGCGGACGGGUGAGUAACACGUAGGUAAUCUACCUAGAAGUUGGGGAUAGCCUGUGGAAACACAGGGUAAUACCGAAUGAGACCAUGUAAAUGGUGAAAGAGGCUAAUGCCUCGCUUUUAGUUGAGCCUGCGGCUCAUUAGCUAGUUGGUGGGGUAACGGCCUACCAAGGCGACGAUGAGUAGCCGGCCUGAGAGGGCGACCGGUCACACUGGGACUGAGACACGGUCCAGACUCCUACGGGAGGCAGCAGCUAAGAAUCUUCCGCAAUGGUCGAAAGGCUGACGGAGCGACGCCGCGUGGAACGAAGAAGGCCGGAAGGUUGUAAAGUCCUUUUCUCAGAGAAGAAUAAUGUGGGGAGGGAAUGCCCUACAGAUGACGUUAUCUGAGGAAGAAGCCCCGGCUAAUUAUGUGCACAGCAGCCGAGGUAACAAGGUAAGGGGCAAGCGUUGUCCGGAAUUAUUGGGCGUACAGGGCGCGUAGGCGGGUGAGCAAGCCAUGGUGUGAAAAGGGCACGAGUUAACUGGAGGAGUGAGCUGAGAACUGCUUGGAUGGAGUUCAUGAAGGGAAUCUGGAAUUCCUGGUGUAGGGGUGAAAUCUGUAGAUAUCAGGAAGAACACCUGUGGCGAAGGCGAGAUUCUGGCCAUGAACUGACGCUGAGGCGCGAAAGCUUGGGGANCGAACAGGAUUAGAUACCCUGGUAGUCCACGCUGUAAACGAUGUGCACUAGGUGUUGGCUGUUGUAACGGUCAGUGCCGAAGCAAACGCGAUAAGUGCACCGCCUGGGGAGUAUGCUCGCAAGGGUGAAACUCAAAGGAAUUGACGGGGGCCCGCACAAGCGGUGGAGCAUGUGGUUUAAUUCGAUGAUACGCGAGGAACCUUACCAGGGCUUGACAUAUGCAUGACGGUCGUAGAGAUACGGCUUCCCUUCGGGGCGUGCAUACAGGUGCUGCAUGGUUGUCGUCAGCUCGUGCUGUGAGGUGUUGGGUUAAGUCCCGCAACGAGCGCAACCCCUGCUGUCUGUUACCAGCACGUAAUGGUGGGGACUCAGACGGUACUGCCGGUGACAAACCGGAGGAAGGUGGGGAUGACGUCAAAUCAUCAUGGCCCUUAUGUCCUGGGCUACACACGUGCUACAAUGGUCGGUACAGAGCGAGGCAAAACCGCGAGGUGGAGCAAAUCGCAGAAAGCCGGUCUCAGUACGGAUUGGAGUCUGAAACCCGACUUCAUGAAGUUGGAAUCGCUAGUAAUCGCGCAUCAGCAUGGCGCGGUGAAUACGUUCCCGGGCCUUGUACACACCGCCCGUCACACCACCCGAGUUGGGG